rnacentral:rRNA from 1 species
AUGCCAAAGGGCGACGACGCGCUCGCGCGGAAGCGCGGGAAGGUGCGCCGGAAGCGGAUGCGCAGCAGCGAGAACGCCGUCUCCACGCGCGUCGCCGCCAUCAUCGCCUCCAAGCGCCGCCGCAAGACCGGUAAGCGCCGCGGCUGCGAGGGCAUGUGCUUCUCCCUCCCUUGCCCCGAGGACCCCUUCAACGAGCGCCACGGCAAGAAGCGCAAGACCGAAGACGCCGCCGACACCAACGACGACCACGAGAAGAAGAGCAAGGAUUCCAAGAAGCGGCCGCUGGAGCGGGCCACCGGUUGUAAUGCCAUACCCGUGCGGAAGAAGGAGACGGUGGAGGACCGGGUGGAGUAUGACCGGCCGUCUAAGUUCCUGGUGGUCUGCCUCAACGCGAUCCGGGAUGGGGCCGGGGCAUCUGAGGAGGACGGCGGGGGCAUCCACGACACCGCCUCCUGGGGCAUGGAGCUCUGGAAGUCCUGCGCGGCGUCCCCGCCUUCGGACGUGCUCGACACCAGCUACCAGUACGCCACCCGGGAGCAGACGGCGUGGCUCGUCUCCACGGCCUGCGACAUCGUCGCCAGGAAGGAGAAGCUCGGAGUGGUCGUCUCAUGCCCCUUCCUCCUCUAUCUCGUCCCUUCCCAGGAAAAGGCCGUGCAAGUGCGUUCAAUAUGUAAACCGCUGAAGUCUCUUGGAAUACAUUCAGUGAGCUUGCAUCCUGGCGCUUCCAUAGAGCACCAGAUUUCUGGAUUAAAGAGCUGUGAGCCCGAGUUUCUUAUAUCUACCCCGGAGAGGCUCCUUGAACUGGUCUCACUAAAGGCAAUUGACAUAUCGAAUGUAUCAAUGCUGGUCAUUGAUGGACUAAAGUAUUUCAUGGACCUUAAUAUCAUCAAAGAACUUCGUUCUAUUCGAGGUACCAUAUCAGGUGAUGCACAGGUAACUAUAUUUAGUGGUCAAUGUGACCAGAGUGCGGCAACAGUGGCAAGAAAUCUACUACACGGGAGAAUUACAAAGCUUACCACGAAUGAUUCUGUUACUUCUCGAAGUGCAUUUGUAGCACAGCAUGUACACUUCUGUACUAAAGAGGAGAAGACAUCAAAGGUCAAGGAAAUUCUUGAGAAUGUUUUAGAAAACCAUGCUAGUAAGACAGCAAAGGUUUUGCUAGUAGCCGUAAAUGAUCAUGAAGCACAGAAACUCUCUUCAUCCCUUAAACUGGAAAUUCUCACUGUGAAUGAUGGCUCACAAGGCAGCACCUUUACCGUAUGCAGCAGCAUGGGGCUUAUCAAUGUCCUUGUGAAAGGCUGUGAGAGCUUGGCAACAUCAGGUGUUGAGGAAUUUGAGAUUGUGUUGGUCGCGGACUUGCCUCCUUCAUUUGACGAUUAUGUUGAGAUCCUCACCAGGACAGCUCGUCACACGGUUGCAGGGGAGGUGCAUGUUAUCGUCUCUAAGACUGAUGCUGCUCAUGCAAAGCCCUUGGCUGAUGUUCUUGCAAACAGUGGACAGGCGGUGCCUAAGUUGCUAAGACAAUUAAUUGACAAGAAUCACUCCUGA